rnacentral:rRNA from 1 species
UGGGGAAUUUUGGACAAUGGGCGCAAGCCUGAUCCAGCAAUGCCGCGUGCAGGACGAAGGCCUUCGGGUUGUAAACUGCUUUUGUACGGAACGAAAAGACACUGGCUAAUACCUGGUGUUGAUGACGGUACCGUAAGAAUAAGCACCGGCUAACUACGUGCCAGCAGCCGCGGUAAUACGUAGGGUGCGAGCGUUAAUCGGAAUUACUGGGCGUAAAGCGUGCGCAGGCGGUUUUGUAAGACAGAGGUGAAAUCCCCGGGCUCAACCUGGGAAUGGCGCUUGUGACUGCAGUGCUGGAGUGCGGCAGAGGGGGAUGGAAUUCCGCAUGUAGCAGUGAAAUGCGUAGAUAUGCGGAGGAACACCAAUGGCGAAGGCAAUCCCCUGGGCCUGUACUGACGCU